rnacentral:rRNA from 1 species
AUUGAACGCUGGCGGAAUGCUUUACACAUGCAAGUCGAACGGUAGAGGGGGCAACCCCUUGAGAGUGGCGAACGGGUGAGUAAUAUAUCGGAACGUGCCCAGUCGUGGGGAUAACGUAGCGAAAGUUACGCUAAUACCGCAUACGAUCUAAGGAUGAAAGCGGGGGAUCGCAAGACCUCGCGCGAUUGGAGCGGCCGAUAUCAGAUUAGGUAGUUGGUGAGGUAAAGGCUCACCAAGCCAACGAUCUGUAGCUGGUCUGAGAGGACGACCAGCCACACUGGAACUGAGACACGGUCCAGACUCCUACGGGAGGCAGCAGUGGGGAAUUUUGGACAAUGGACGCAAGUCUGAUCCAGCCAUUCCGCGUGCAGGAUGAAGGCCCUCGGGUUGUAAACUGCUUUUGUACGGACGAAAAGGUUUGUCUUAAUACGAUGAGCUCAUGACGGUACCGUAAGAAUAAGCACCGGCUAACUACGUGCCAGCAGCCGCGGU